GGUUUUUGCACCAAACAUGACUCAGGUGAGUCUCUAGCUCUCUAUGGUUGGUUUCCAUGCUUUUCUUAAGAUUGGGGCUUUAUGUGGUACUUUUGGACUAUGUGCUAAAAUGCCAUGUACAAAAGUAGGACUGACCCAUGAGAAUUUAACUGAAAAUGAUUUUCUUCUUCUUCUUUGUUAUGAUAUAUAUAUUCUAGAUCACUGGAAUUUUAUUAUGGCUAUAGAAGUUGCAGAUCUGGUGAGUGGUCAGUGCUGACAGAAAAGUCUUGAUAUUGUUUCAGAUGGCAGAUCCUUUGACUGCCCUAAUGUAUGCGGUUCAAGUGAUGAACUUUCUUAAAACACUUAUCUUAAGGACACUGCGAGAAAGAGAAGAUUCUGUGGUGGAGCCAACUCCUAUUUCACGUCUUGAGCCAUUUGAUGAGAAUGGUCAUCAGAGCUCUUCACAGUCCUGUGUGGAAGCUACUACAAAAGACAAUGAAAAGACAGCACAAACCUUCACUGCUGACGAACCUGUUGUAGAAAGUUCCUGCAACUACAGUCAAAAGGAUGUCAUAACUGAUGGAGAAAAUUGUAGUUGUACUAUCUCUUCUGAGAAGUUAAUUGCCAAAGGAUAUCAAUCUUGCGAUGCUGCUGGUCAGGUCCAUACAUUUAUCAAUGAAUCUGAUACUGGCAUUGUCAAUGGUCUAAAGGUUUGUAUUCAUGCGAGACCUGGGAAAAGCAAGGUUGGUCAAUCAAGCAGUUCAAAUCUCAGAAAGAAUCCUGGUAAGAUAAAUAGGCAGCAUUCUAUACUUCGUGUGACAAUGCCUGUUGAGAAGACGGUGGGACUUGGCAACUUAAGCUGUUUAGAUUCGAGGAUGGAACUUAUUGAAGCUUGGCGAUGAAAAGGAUCGCAGUUGUUGGACCCCAACUGAUCCUACAAAAGGUGGCUGUCCGAUUUGGAAGUUGUGAGUGUUCGUGAAUUGUUCAUGUAUGUUUUCUGGGUGUUGACUGGUCCAUAGUAUUCAGCUAACAUCUACGACUUGAAAAUUAUAACUACUUUGAUUAACAAUGAAAUCAAUGUUCUGGAGCUAUGGAAAUUCGUUUGUUAACUAGUCAUCAACGCUUAUCAUUGUCAUGUAGAGUUGCUUGAUGGGUUUCUUUUUAUAUAGAUGAGAAUUAAACCGCAGUCCUAACUCUUCUAUAUCAAUGCUAAAGCAAGAGCCA
rnacentral:misc_RNA from 1 species